rnacentral:rRNA from 1 species
UACGUAGGGCGCAAGCGUUGUCCGGAUUCACUGGGUGUAAAGGGUGCGCAGGCGGGCAAGUAAGUUAGAGGUGAAAUCUCACAGCUCAACUGUGAAACGGCCUUUAAUACUGCUUUUCUUGAGUUAGGGAGAGGUUGAUGGAAUUCCAGGUGUAGCGGUGAAAUGCGUAGAUAUCUGGAAGAACACCGGUGGCGAAGGCGGUCAACUGGCCCUAAACUGACGCUCAGGCACGAAAGCGUGGGGAUCAAACAGG